UUAAGCGACUAAGCGUACACGGUGGAUGCCCUGGCAGUCAGAGGCGAUGAAGGACGUGCUAAUCUGCGAAAAGCGUCGGUAAGGUGAUAUGAACCGUUAUAACCGGCGAUGUCCGAAUGGGGAAACCCAGUGCAAUUCGUUGCACUAUCGUUAACUGAAUACAUAGGUUAACGAGGCGAACCGGGGGAACUGAAACAUCUAAGUACCCCGAGGAAAAGAAAUCAACCGAGAUUCCCCCAGUAGCGGCGAGCGAACGGGGAGCAGCCCAGAGUCUGAAUCAGCUUGUGUGUUAGUGGAACGGUCUGGAAAGUCCGACGGUACAGGGUGAUAGUCCCGUACACCAAAAUGCACAGGUUGUGAACUCGAAGAGUAGGGCGGGACACGUGGUAUCCUGUCUGAAUAUGGGGGGACCAUCCUCCAAGGCUAAAUACUCCUGACUGACCGAUAGUGAACCAGUACCGUGAGGGAAAGGCGAAAAGAACCCCGGCGAGGGGAGUGAAAAAGAACCUGAAACCGUGUACGUACAAGCAGUGGGAGCACCUUCGGGUGUGACUGCGUACCUUUUGUAUAAUGGGUCAGCGACUUAUAUUCUGUAGCAAGGUUAACCGUAUAGGGGAGCCGCAGGGAAACCGAGUCUUAACUGGGCGUUAAGUUGCAGGGUAUAGACCCGAAACCCGGUGAUCUAGCCAUGGGCAGGUUGAAGGUUGGGUAACACUAACUGGAGGACCGAACCGACUAAUGUUGAAAAAUUAGCGGAUGACUUGUGGCUGGGGGUGAAAGGCCAAUCAAACCGGGAGAUAGCUGGUUCUCCCCGAAAGCUAUUUAGGUAGCGCCUCGUGAAUUCAUCUUCGGGGGUAGAGCACUGUUUCGGCUAGGGGGUCAUCCCGACUUACCAACCCGAUGCAAACUACGAAUACCGAAGAAUGUUAUCACGGGAGACACACGGCGGGUGCUAACGUCCGUCGUGAAGAGGGAAACAACCCAGACCGCCAGCUAAGGUCCCAAAGUCAUGGUUAAGUGGGAAACGAUGUGGGAAGGCACAGACAGCCAGGAUGUUGGCUUAGAAGCAGCCAUCAUUUAAAGAAAGCGUAAUAGCUCACUGGUCGAGUCGGCCUGCGCGGAAGAUGUAACGGGGCUAAACCAUGCACCGAAGCUGCGGCAGCGACACUAUGUGUUGUUGGGUAGGGGAGCGUUCUGUAAGCCUGCGAAGGUGACCUGUGAGGGUUGCUGGAGGUAUCAGAAGUGCGAAUGCUGACAUAAGUAACGAUAAAGCGGGUGAAAAGCCCGCUCGCCGGAAGACCAAGGGUUCCUGUCCAACGUUAAUCGGGGCAGGGUGAGUCGACCCCUAAGGCGAGGCCGAAAGGCGUAGUCGAUGGGAAACAGGUUAAUAUUCCUGUACUUGGUGUUACUGCGAAGGGGGGACGGAGAAGGCUAUGUUAGCCGGGCGACGGUUGUCCCGGUUUAAGCAUGUAGGCUGGUUAUCCAGGCAAAUCCGGAUAAUCAAGGCUGAGGUGUGAUGACGAGGUACUACGGUGCUGAAGUAACAAAUGCCCUGCUUCCAGGAAAAGCCUCUAAGCAUCAGGUAACAUCAAAUCGUACCCCAAACCGACACAGGUGGUCAGGUAGAGAAUACCAAGGCGCUUGAGAGAACUCGGGUGAAGGAACUAGGCAAAAUGGUGCCGUAACUUCGGGAGAAGGCACGCUGGUGUGUAGGUGAAGUCCCUGCGGAUGGAGCUGAGACCAGUCGAAGAUACCAGCUGGCUGCAACUGUUUAUUAAAAACACAGCACUGUGCAAACACGAAAGUGGACGUAUACGGUGUGACGCCUGCCCGGUGCCGGAAGGUUAAUUGAUGGGGUUAUCCGUAAGGAGAAGCUCUUGAUCGAAGCCCCGGUAAACGGCGGCCGUAACUAUAACGGUCCUAAGGUAGCGAAAUUCCUUGUCGGGUAAGUUCCGACCUGCACGAAUGGCGUAAUGAUGGCCAGGCUGUCUCCACCCGAGACUCAGUGAAAUUGAACUCGCUGUGAAGAUGCAGUGUACCCGCGGCAAGACGGAAAGACCCCGUGAACCUUUACUAUAGCUUGACACUGAACAUUGAGCCUUGAUGUGUAGGAUAGGUGGGAGGCUUUGAAGCGUGGACGCCAGUCUGCGUGGAGCCAACCUUGAAAUACCACCCUUUAAUGUUUGAUGUUCUAACGUUGGCCCCUUACCGGGGUUGCGGACAGUGUCUGGUGGGUAGUUUGACUGGGGCGGUCUCCUCCCAAAGCGUAACGGAGGAGCACGAAGGUUAGCUAAUCCUGGUCGGACAUCAGGAGGUUAGUGCAAUGGCAUAAGCUAGCUUGACUGCGAGCGUGACGGCGCGAGCAGGUGCGAAAGCAGGUCAUAGUGAUCCGGUGGUUCUGAAUGGAAGGGCCAUCGCUCAACGGAUAAAAGGUACUCCGGGGAUAACAGGCUGAUACCGCCCAAGAGUUCAUAUCGACGGCGGUGUUUGGCACCUCGAUGUCGGCUCAUCACAUCCUGGGGCUGAAGUAGGUCCCAAGGGUAUGGCUGUUCGCCAUUUAAAGUGGUACGCGAGCUGGGUUUAGAACGUCGUGAGACAGUUCGGUCCCUAUCUGCCGUGGGCGCUGGAGAAUUGAGGGGGGCUGCUCCUAGUACGAGAGGACCGGAGUGGACGCAUCACUGGUGUUCGGGUUGUCAUGCCAAUGGCACUGCCCGGUAGCUAAAUGCGGAAGAGAUAAGUGCUGAAAGCAUCUAAGCACGAAACUUGCCCCGAGAUGAGUUCUCCCUGAGACUAUAAGUCUCCUGAAGGAACGUUAAAGACGAUGACGUUGAUAGGCCGGGUGUGUAAGCGCAGCGAUGCGUUGAGCUAACCGGUACUAAUGAACCGUGAGGCUUAACCUU
rnacentral:rRNA from 1 species